GAAUGUUUCAAUGAGUAUGUUGACAGAUACAUAAAUAGUUCAAUAGGCAAACGUGAAAAUACACACAAAUACAUCAGCAUAGAAACAUAUGGAGUAAAUUAUGCAGCGUUCACAAUGCAUUAUUAAACAGAAGUUUCAUCUCAAUUCUUAAAUAUCUACACUGGCAAGAUUUCUUUUCAAUUCUGAAUUAUUAUAUCGACUUUUAUGCCAGCACCAUCAUCUAAAGAGAAAAUUACAUAAAAUAUCACAAAUGCCAUUUUUGCUAAUUCUCAGUCUCCUUUUGUUGCUAUGUAAAUUACAGUAUAAGUUUGAUAACAAAUCUGUAUUAAGAUGUGGGAGCUAUUCUUUCUUUAACUCAUCAUGGUGCCAAAAUUAAAAUAUUUGCUCCAGGUUUGAACAAUUCACCUCAUUAAGAGAUGAAGAAUUUUGACAGGUUCACUAUGCAUUUUAAGAUACAUAAUCUAGGUAGCUGAAAAAAUUAAAAUACAUGCUCAAAAGGGGAAAUUUCCACUCAAGUCGAUACAGUUUUCUAUGAAGCUCAAUUCCUCAUGGCACUUUAGACUUUCAAAACUAAUUCAAGGAAAAUAGACCCUGUAUUAACAAAGGAGAUAAUUAAGUAAGGUAGGAAGGUGCUCAUCAGAAAAGACAUUAAAUGAACCAAGCAUUGGUAACUUUCAAGAAGUCAAACAUAACCAAUAUAAUAUCUAUUGUAAUGCAGACUGUGAUGGUGUUUGUGACUGUAUUAUUCAUAACAGCCCCAAACUAGAGACUACCCAUCCACCCCUUGACAGGAAAAUGAUUUUUGUAAAAGCACACAAAAAGGAUAUUCUACAAUAAUCCCAAACAGAAAUCUCGGAAGUGAAAAACGAUGUAUAUUGCAUGAGUCCUCUCACAUAAGGUUCAGAGUGAGGAAAACUCAUCUAUGUGGCUAGGAAUAAUAAGAGAUAGAAGGUGAGUGGGGAGCGCAUGAAGCAACUGGUCACAAUUCUGUUUAGUCCUGUAGAUGUUACUCAGGAACAUGCAGUGUCUGAAAAGUCACGAAGCUGCCCCAUGGAAUGGGCUCACCUUCCUCAGAGCAGCUCACUCUUCAACAAAAAGUCAGGACAAUUUAAUUAUGAAAUUGUCAAUAAGGAAGAGAAAGUCUAGAAUAGCUAAAAGGGGAUAUGGACUCCUGUUCUUUUCAUGUUCCUAGGAACUUUUUGAAAAGAAUCAGCAUCUCAGAAGUUCAACACUCAGACGUGAUCUGGGCCCAUACUACAGGGACCCUUACACAGAAGCCUGUUCUCUGAAAGGAGUUCAUCUCGAUGAGUAUGGGUGAGUUGCAGUAAGUGCUCAUGAGCAAGCACAAUUCUGGCCUUGGUUGGAUCAGGUACCAUUGUUUCUGCUCACUGGCUAGUUCCCUUCACUGCUUCCCUUUCCAAAAACUCAGUUUUUGGCUUCACUCUUUCCUUUCUUCUCUAAAUGAAGUCACUCUUUUUGACACACCCAUCAAGUUCCCUGAAGUGAAAUCUCUGCCUAAAAUUGCUCUCCCCAGGACUGAGUUUCUCUACCUCCUCAAAUAUACUUUGUUGAAAGCCAAGGUCCACACCUUAAUUUCCUUCAGGGUUCCAGAUCUUUUUUUUUUUUUGAAUUAAGAAAUUUUUUAUUCAUUUUACAUACCAAUCACAGACCCCCCCUUCCCUCCUCCCACCCCUUCAGCCUCCCCCCCAAUUCCUUCCUACAAGAGGUAAGGCCUCUCACGGGGAGUCAGCAGAGCCUGGUACAUUCAGUAGAGGCAGGUCCAAGCCCCUCCCCCUGCCUCAAGGCUGUGGGAAGUGUCCCACCUAGGUAUUGGGCUCCAAAAAGCCAGCUCAUGCACCAGGGAUAGAUCCUGAUCCUACUGCCCAGGGGCCCCUUAAACAGAUCAUGCUACACAACUGUCUUGCUUAUGCAGAGGGCCUAGUCCAGUCCCGUGGAGGCUCUACAGCACACCCUAAUUUUUUUAAAACAGUAAACACAGAAUGAUCAUUCAAUGCCACUGCCAAUUUCACAUCUGGCUCUAAGUCCCAAAAAAAUGACAGUUAAGACUCCCAACUUCACUUCUGGCUCUAAGUCCCAAAGAAAUAAAAGCUAAGAUUCUAGAAGAUAUUUGUGCCUAAAGGCAAAAACACCACUGUGUCCAUGGGGGGAGAAGGGCAGGGACAGAUACACAAGAUAGAAACUAAACCUUAAAAGAAACGAAAGUAUGACAUACACUAGACGUGAUAAACCUUAAAGACUCUGUACUAAGUAAAAUCAGACCGACAAAAGACAAACACUAUAUGACCCCAUAAAAGUACCUAGAGCAAUCCAAUGCACAGUAACAGAGAACUGAAUGUUAGUUUCCUGGGCUGGCAGUGAGGAGAAACAGAGCAUUAUUGCUUACCUAGUAAAGAGUUUCCAUGUGGGAAGAGAGUAUUCUAUAGACAAGUGUUGGUUCUACAGGGCUUAUGUGAUAUAUAAGCCCACUGAACUUCAUAGUUAUAUUGGAUAACAUGGUAAAUUUUAUUUAUGCUAUUCUACCAUAAUUUAAUAGUAUGCCUCACUACCCUUACAGUUAUCUUCCUUUCAAACCAAGAAGUACUUGUUCUGCUUGAAAUCUUAUUUUUGUGACUGUUAAUAUCAUUUUGGCCAUAUUCUCUCAGAAAAACGUAAACUUAAAAGUUCCUUCUGCAUGUUUUCUACCUCUCACUCUGUAUCCUUUACUCCUGAGAUUCCCGGCUGUGCUCUUUCCACAUCCCCCUCAGAAACAACAACCACCCCAAGCCCAUUCCCGAUGUCACCAUGCCAAUGGACCCCCAUCUUUUCUCACAGAACCUCUUUACUAAUCCCUAAACCUCCAGCUACUCUUUGUACUCUACCUCCAUCCUGAAUGCUGACAUCCUAACAGUCACCCUAAACUAUCUGUGCCCAUCCUGCCCAGAAUGCAUAGCAAUUUCUACUUCUCAUGAAAUAAAACCAUAAGACCUAACAAAGACACCUUAUCCAUCCAUCUAUCCAUUCAAAUUGUCACCAAAGGCCUGCAUGGGUCCGAUGCUCCCCUUAGACCUGGGAGUUUUGAAACGGACAAAACCAGGAAUAAAUGGCUGCCCUUGUGAAGUCCCUAAUAGAAAAAUAUAGACAAUAAAUAAAAUGUGAGCCCUUUAAAGAUGGCAGGAAAACACAGAGCAGGGAAGACAGAGUGUGCUGAGAGCAAGGGGAAGGGUUCAUUUCCAGCGGCUUUACAGAGAAGUGCCUGUGGAGAGGGCGAUCUUCCAGCAAAGAUGCCGAGGAAAAGGGCAGAGCCAAGCACUCACGGCAGAGGAAGAAGGCAGUGCCCAGGGUGAGGACAAGGCUAGGAUGUCUGAUGCACCGCAUGGCGGUUAGCAUAAGUAAUGCUGAAUGAGUGACAGAACAGCCCCAGGAGAAGGGUGUCUAGAGGCAGUAGAAAAGGGGGUUUGAAGCCCCACCCUCCAUGAUAAGGACUUACAGGAGACAGGACAAUGGACAGAGGAACGAAAUGAAAGAACCGGUUUUAACUGCAUCGCGCUUGCUGUUGAGGGUAAACUGAUUUUCCACAGUCACAGGGACUGAAAACACAAAGUCCAGUUAGGAAGUUGAUUAGCAUUAGCCAGGGCAGAGGUGGUAGAGAGUAGAUUAACAUGGUAGCUGUGGGUUUUGUAAAAGGUGGGCAGGAUCUGGGUGCAUCCUGGGAGGUCUAAGCAGUGGGAUCAGAGGGAAUAUUCCAAAUGUGUGAGAAAGAAGGACAAAUUGUGGAAGACACUGAGGUCCUCUGACUAAGCUUGGAAGGAUGGUAUUAGUAAGGAGGAACCGGGAAGACUGAGACCAAGCUAGUGAGGCCCAGAGGUCAGUGAAGGACAGUACAGAGCUGCAUUUCAGUGGUCUCUGGGUACUACUGACUUCUGUUUAUCUCCCCCACAAAUCUAACUUGUGCUUCCAAGCUAGGAUGAAUACACGUGCUGUGGAUGGAGUGUGUACCAAUAUUCUUUGCAACUGCAAGAGAAGAAAUUCAGAGGGACAAUAAAUGAUACCUGUUUGCUGGUUUCAGCGACCUGUGUUUCUUUAUACAAUUGCCUGUCUCUACCAAUAAGGGAGGAGUUUAUGCUCCACCCUGAAUGUACACCAACACAGAGAGGGAAAAGCAACAGACACACAUUUUCUUGAUGGUUAAACAUCAAGGUACAUUUCACCAGCCUUUGGCAAAUAUCAGUGCUUGGGAAGAAUCAUGUCUAGCAUGGUCCUCUGCUGCCUCAUACGGGGAUCCAUCCUCUCAUGAAGAGGGAGUUACAGGUAAGGUGAGAAUGAAGCGGGGAGAGAGUCAAGUCAGACCCUGGAUGAAGUAGGAACCAAUGAGUCUAUGUUUCCCCCUUUAGGAACAGGAAUACUUUCAAGGUGCCAGGGUCCCAAUAAGCUGAAACGUGCUGAGUGGGUCAAACCAUAGACAAUGUUUUUUUAAUCCUCCAGAACCCAUGUAUCAAACAGAAGCAAGAACUGAGGGCAAUGCCAAGCUCACAGCAUCCCAGUAUGGAGAAAGAGUGCUAAGUACCCAGAAGGAACACGGGAGAGCUAAAAAAAUAAUAAAUAAAUUAAAAAAAUAAAGGUCCUAAGCUUGAAAGGCCCUAUGCUUUUCAGAAAGGAAGUGUGAGACAAGCAGGAGCUUCCAGAACAUGAAGAAAACAGUGACACAAGAAUAAGACAAAUGCCUUGGUUAAAAAUGAUGUGUCCCACCAGGAUGCUGCAAAGGUAAAAGGGGUCUCAAUUGUCGAAUAUAAACAUUUCAAACCAAAGGCAACUCACUGGCAGAACUUGAGUUAUUGACCCCAACAGACAAUCUGGACUGCAAACAAAUAGUAUGAGGUUAAAUUCUCUGCUGUUCUGAAGGCUGGAGAAGCAGAGUCUAAAAUUCAUUCCUGUUACAAAAAGAGAUGGCAACUCUGCAUGUCUCAAUCGAUGAGCAUAUCACUGUUACAUUUCAUUUUUAUAAUACCCUAAGUAGAUUGAAUAACGUCCCUAAUGAUAUCAAGACCUAAUGCCUAGAACCUGUGAAUGCUGCAUGGGAAAGCCUUUGCAGAUAUCUAAUGACAAACAUAUGGAAUUGAGUUAGGCUCUCAAUCUAUCUGUAAGCAUCCUUGAAAACACAGACAGAAGGGGGUUUGAUACAGACAAUAUGGGGAAUUGAAAUACAAAGCAGAGAUUAAGUGAUGUGACUACAAGCCAAGGAACAUCAGCAGCACACAGCACCUAGAAAGGUAUAGUCAGGUUCCCUUUAGAGCCCUUCAAAGAAACAUGACCCUCCAGAAUUGUGGAAAUACAGUUCUCCAGUUUGUAGCUCACCAAGUUUGUGGGAAUCUGUUAGACUAUCCUUAUGAAAUUACUAUAAUAACCUAAUGAGCAAGUUAUGUUUCUGUUUUAAAGAUAGCCAACCUGACCAGGUUGACUGAGCCCUUGUGCCUGACCCAAGCUGAGGGCCUUUCUCCUGCAGGGCCCUGCUUCAUCCUACAUGGAAGCUCCCACACAAGGUGCUCACACUGCCACCUCAGCAAGUCCUAAUUCUAUAACCAGGAAAAGUUUAAAUCAUUCUCUCUUUUCCUAUUGUUUUAAUUAUCUGUUUCUUUUUAUUCUGGAAUGUGUCCGAUAAGUAUUUGCUAAUCUAUUGAAAAUAAACAAUCAUGUUCUGAAUGUCAGAAGAAUAAAAGUGAUAGUUGGAUUUCAAAUUAUCCAAUCGUAACCUUCCAUAAAAGUAAUUUAGAUCAUUUGAGUUUGGGAUGCAUGCAAAAUUAAAUUCAAAAAUGAGUUGGGAAAAAAAAUCAAGCUGUAUUUGAACAGCCACAAUGAAUAAGAAACUGAAAAAAAAAAGUGUGGUAUGUGUGGUCACCAAGUAGAAUGUAGUCUGGUGUUCUGUUGAUAUCACUCACACACACACACACACACACACACACACACACACACACACCUCAAAGGCAGAAUAUAAAUCUGGAAAGAAAAGAUAAGCAAGAAAUACUUCAGGAAAUUUCACAGAUCUAUAGUACUUAAUGCUUGAAUAAUGCAAACAAUAAAAUCAGAAGAAUAUCCUCAUAAUAUUAAUAAGAAACAUACUUUCAAAAGCUAUCAAAACCUAGACUGUAUUUAAGAAAGAAAAAUACAUCAGCUCUACUCAUCUAAAGCAACAUUCUAGUUCUAGCCUAUGGAUAAUGCAGAUAAUAAAUAGACAAAGUCAAUAAAGGCCUACAGGGCUGGAUACAGCUAUGUUUCUACCUCAUAUACAAUUCUAACAAUGAAGAUAAAGUUUUCUUACCAGGAAAUUUGGCUUUUAAAAAUUAUAUCACAUUAGAUAAUCUUUAUGCAUCCAUAAAUCGGCAUCUCGAUUUAGAUGCACUGUUGUUUAUCAUCCUCCAGCUGACUUCAUCCCUCAAAGCAUCACAGCUCCAGAGAUCUAAACAACCCUAGUAGGGACAACUGGCAACCAACUAACCACAGCCUACUGUGAUUUGCUCUCUUUUAGUGAGGCGGCUCACUAAUGUAGGGGUUCAUAGGCAUAAUGUUCAACAGGAAGAUACAGGAUGCUGAGGCAGAGUCUUCUGAGAGGAAGACAGGUGAUGUGUGGAGGGAGUGAAAAGUUGCGGCCCACCAGUGUGAAAGCCUAGGCACUGCUGUAAACCAUGUUACUAAGGCCUGACAAUGAAAAGAGAAGCAGCAGCUCCCUUGGCACCUGAGGAAUUUUUCUCCUGACAGUCCUUCUUUAACUUGAAAAACAAGCCAAUUUUAGCCAACUAAGUAAUCCUUCUAAGUACCCUAUAAAUUUUCAAUACCAAAAAAAUUAAUUCUCAAAACAUAGUUCUUUGAUACUGUGUUCAAAAUGAGAAUGAACUCCAGCCUUGGAGUCGCCACUCAAGAAAGAGCCACAGGUGCCGUUCGUAUAGAUCCAUCUCUAGCAUUUUAAAGGCCUUGUUUAUUUAAUUAUUUUAACUUCAUAAAAUCGACCUAAAUAAUCUGUUAAAACGUUACUAAAACUUUACGGUUCCAUCCUUAGUUUGAAUUAUGAAAUGGUCCCCACUGGUUCAUGUGCUGAACACUUGAUCUUCCAGCUUGGUGGUAUGCUGGAGGACUUUGGAAGUGUUAGCGGGUGGACACAGCUAGAGGAAACAGGUCACUGGAAACAAGUCCUUAGCGUCAUCUUGCCUCUGGUCCCUUUCUUCUCCACAUGCUCCUGUAACCAGGAUGGUCUGCUCACGACAACACAGAAACAUGGGAGAAAGUGACCAUGAACGGACUCCUCCAGAACUGUGAAUCAAAAUACUUCCUGUGUGAAGUGGUUCAAUUGGGCGCUUGGUCAAAGUCACACAAAAGCAAUCAACAUGGACACAGUUUUUAAAACUCAUUUCAUUCCCAAAGGCCAUAUUGCUUACCCUUAAAUGCCUAACAAACAAUUGGUUAAGCCUAUUUCAAAUAAACUUUCUGGAGUUACUUUUCAGACAUGAGAAAGUGAAAUGCAAUCAUCAAGCAUCAUUCAUACAUAAGAAUAACAGGAAGGCCACCUUAAAUUACUUCCAAACAACCAGUAAGAAGGUGAAAGGAAAGAAACGCUUCCAGGAGUUUUAAACGAUGCUUACAACAACAACAACAAAUGAGAACUGCAUAUUGUUUUAAAUUUUAUUUUUUUUCUAAUGUAUUUUCUAGGGUCUUGCUGUUAGAAAAAAAAUGUUACCAAAUAAUUCUGUUUUCUGUUUAAUUUUCAAGAACUUUUUCUUUAAGAAAAAGCGAAGAAAAGUUUCAUCUGAAACUGUUGAUUUAAGUUCAAAGUCUUUUAAGAAACUUCAAUCCACCAAGAAUAGGAGUGUUCACCUGUGACCUUCUGCCUGGAUUUGUUCCCUGAAUCCACUAAAAGUGCCGCAUUGGGCUGAAAUAGAAGGCAAACCCCUGCGCUUCUCAGCACUUGAUAGGAGGAGAAACAAAGUGGCUUUUACUUCUAAUGCACCCAGGAAACAGUCCUUCCUACACCAUUGUUACAGGAACCCCCAGGCAACAAAUAAAUGUCCCUUGUAUUUCCCAGAGCUGGGUUGAAACCACCUAUAUUUUGUCAAUCUUAUUUCUGGAUCAAAACGAACAGCCUCUGACCAAGCAAAACAAAACCCUGAACACAAGAAGCAAAGAAUAAACCAGAGCUCAAUUUCUAAAGGGUUCCUUAGCCUGAGAAUGCUAUUGAACACCACCAAGAGCCCCCAGACAACUGCCAAUCAGAUUAAUCCCCAAGAAAAAUCACAGAGAAAUUACAGCACAUUACCUUGAAAGGCCUACAGGCCUUUAAAUCCAUGUUUCAGCAAAUCAAAAUAAUCUAUGCAUUAACUCAGAUCCACAAUGAUAAUAUAUACUAACAGAAAGACGUCCUUUCAACAAAGGCUUGUGUCUACACUGGCUUCAGCCCACUGGAAAAGCAUGUGGAACUGGAGUGCAUACAAACAGCCUCUUUAACUGCACAUGACCAGGUGCAUCCUUGAGAGAUGGACUAAAUAUCCAUCCAUCUGGACAUGUGAGGUCUAUGGUGUGUUUUCCAAGUCUCUCUCUUCACUGGAAUUUAUAAGAUAUGCUUUGAAUUACUGGAUAUAAAUACCUUACAAUUCAGUACAAGUGAACUCAAAACACAUUCGUCUUUGACUCUAAGAUAAAAAGAUGUAGGCACAGCCAGAGUCCCUUAUCUCACAGAAGUACUAUCUAAUUUUAAUAAGAUCAUUAGUAAGACAGUUAUUAAAAAUGUUACAGCAGCUAAGACGAUAGGUAUUUAGCUCUGCUUGAUCCUCCAGGUGUCUGUGCUACUCCAGGUGUCUGUGCUGCUUCAGGUGUCUGUGCUACUCCAAGUGUCUGUGCUACUCCAGGUGUCUAUGCUGCUCCAGGUGUCUAUGCCAAGUCUUUAGGAAAAAUGUUACACACUAUUGGUCGCCACAAUCCAUCUCUAACUCUACCAACCAGGGAGCAUUCUUCCCUUGCUUUUUCCCCAGCUCGACAUGAGGUUCUAUAUGUAAACAUUUCUCAUAAAAUUUGGGAAAUAUUGCAUUUGUUCACAUUUGAUUGGAGUAUCACUAUAAUCUUAUAUUUGUCCAAAUCAGUCCUUUUAAGGUUUAUUUUUUAAUUAUGUGUGUGACACACACACACACACACACACACACACACACACAGGAAGGGAGCAAGGGAGGAAAGCAGAGAGGGAGGUAGGGAAGGAGGGAAGGAGGGAGAGAGAGUGUUCCCAUGGGGACUAGAAGAGGGAUGUACCUCAGGCUGGACAUAUGGAAAAAGCAGUUGUGACAAGCUGCCCCUUCUCGGACACAGAGGUCGACUACACCACAUAAGACUGAUUGCAUGGUGGCAACUACCUUCCUUGACCCAUUUUCCCUCCUAGAUUGUGGCACUAGGAGACUGCCAAGAGCCUGGUCAGCUGCUAAAGAAAAUGCCCACAUUUACCUUGUCGCCAUGCGUAUUCUGUGAGACAAUGCUGAAGGAACUAAAAUAACAGCCCAGAUGCCCAAGCAGGCAGCCAGAUCAAGUCGGUACCUGAGAAGCCGAGCAGCGCAACAAGGAGACCAAGUGGCACCUAGUGUAGUGUGCCCAUGAUUCCGCACGUAGAGGAGUGAGGGGUGCUGUGAGGAGUGAGGGGUGGGACACAGCCUGUGCACAUGGGGGUUAGGCAGGCACUCUCGGUCCCACAAAUGACUGUGAGGAAAACUACAAGACCCAGGUCCACACCCAGAUGGCUAAAGUUGGGACACAGGGGGAGAGGGCCAGCUGUGAGGCCACCAUAACGCCUGAAGGUGGAAGAAGUGGGGUCUCAGGCAGCUCUGAGAACCUGUCAAAGAACCAGGAGGCAGUUUUACUGACAGAUACUUCCUACUCUUUGCUGGUAAAAUAUUUUCUGAUUUGGAGACUGCAUAUACCACCAAGGCCCAUAUCUCAGAGCACAAGUGGUCAGGGCACAUGAUUCUCUGCACAGAACGUGUCCUAAGGGCUCCACUGAGGUUCCUGGUGGUAACAAGGACAGUCACAAUUCUGAAACCUGCUAAGUUAUAAACAACACAGAAAGUACCCCUGCAUAUUGGCUCCAGACAACAGGAAACACGCUGAACCUCUUUUGUCUGAAACAAAAGGAAACAGAAAAGUGCAGCCGCAGCUUGGGAGCAGGUAGCAGCAAACUCCCGCGCUGCACAGCUCCUCCUGGCUAUGAGAGACGGUGUGGACGUGGCUGCACGUGUAAAGAUGGGUUCAUUAAAAGCCUCUGGUCAUUCAUUCUGCUUAUUAAAGCCACUCACUCCACAGUAGUAUUCACAAUGGAAAUCUCAGCUGCUACGGCAAUGAUACUAAAACACAAUUAAUCCCUCCUCCUGAAGUGUGUGUACGUAUGUGCUCCAGGUACAGUGUUAAUUGCCACUGCCUUGUACCACGGCUUCAAUUAGGAAUCCCAAUGGGAGCAAGACAAACAUGGAUCCCAUUAAGUUCCAGAAGAGUUGAAACUGAAGCCACACCCAACAUACACACACACACACACACACACACACACACACACACACACACACACACACACACACACCAGCUCCACUCACUGAUAGUGACCACAGAGGGCUCCAUCUGGGGAACUAUAGUGACACCCAGUGGCUGUCAAGGAAAGUGCAGAGCGAGGUCUAUGGAAAUGUGUUGCUACGGUGCCGGUGCCGCUUUAACCUAAGGGCAAAUUUGAGGCUAGUCUGGGUUAAAUAGUAAAAAUCAUGAGGUGGGGGAGAAAAUAUCUAGUCUUAAAAAGCUAAGAGAAGUCUUCUCAGUGUUGUAAAAUUAUUUAAUAUUAUAAAAUUAUUUAUAUUUAAAUAAGAAUCUUUUUAUUUCUCAAUUAUGUACAGGGAGCUGAUUAUUCUUGUGUAUAGAAGUAUUUUUCAGGCUAGAGAUAUUACCUCCUACCUUUUACAACCUAUUCAGGGAAUGAACACAAACAUGUUGUUCCAACUGCCGUUAGAGGCAUGGAAUACUGAUAAGGGUCUCCAAAGGAAACGUGACCAAGAUACAGCUGCCUGUAUUUGAUGCCGAGGAAGACCACGGACCGCAGCCCCUAGAGUGCUGCAGCCUCCUCACCUACUGCUCAGUCAUUUGGUACUCAGGUGAAGUCAGUGUUUGCAACUACUUUAUUUGGAUAUGUAGCCUGGGUACACGGCCAAAGGAAGAUCAACACAAGGAAAAUCCAAAAGGAAAUAUCUUUGCCAUAGCCUUUGGCCUCUGACUGAUGAGUCUGGAAGAUGAUGUUCUGGUGUUUUGACUUCAUUUCGGCAAUGUCUAGAAAACACGUGAAGUCACGAAGAAGCACACUUUAUAACAAUGCCUAAAAGUUUAAAUUCAGUGUGGAACUCACAACUAUUUCAAAGACUUUAUUAAAAAUGUUUGCAUUUAAAAGUACAUUUCAUUACCUAGUAUAAAUACUUGGUAGGUUUUUGUGAGCAUGGCCCCUUUGUUUACAGAACAGAUUUUUAUUUCUGAAUUUUGAAGCUGUUCGUCAGGCAUAAAUUGUGGUGACUAUAAUACAAAAUGUUUCCUAAGUCCCCUAAGAUAGAAAUAAAAACAAGACAAAAGUAUAAAAUGUGGCACUUAUAUGUUGUGUCAAUUAAUAGCUGAAUAGGUAAUGAAAUUGUCUGUAAUAUGGCAAGAAUCUACUGAAAGUUAUCAUCAGGCUUCUUGGGAAUUAUCAGGAGCCGAAGUUAAACUCAUCAUAAGGGGCAAUGAACAAAGCCAAUGCUUAGGCUUUCCUGUCUGGGGAGGCAGGAGAUGCCAUAGGCCACUUAGCCCACCUUCAGUAUUCAGAUAUCCUCAGAAGAUUCUAUGUGUUCCACACUCAGUUGUCACAAUCAGUGGACCAUGAUGCAACAAAGCAGCUGACUGACCCAAGGAUGCUUCAGGCAUACUUUCCUCAUUUCUUAGAAGUCUGAACAUACCCCCAACUGUCUUCAUCAAGAGAAAGUCUACCAACACUUUCCAAAUGGUAGCAAAACUACUUUCAGAAGAGUGUAUGUGUGUGUGUGUGUGUGUGUGUGUGUGUGUGUGUGUGUGUGUCUGCCUGCCUGUCUGUCUGGGCCAGGGUGUUGGACAGCAAUUUCUUCCAAACUGAAACAUCCUCUAACGGAGAGAGGCUCUGGAGACUUAGGAGGUAAGCAACUCACAAGUCCUAGGAAGUUCCUGAAACCUACAAGAACCCUCUCCAAGUUCAGGGAAGCAAUCAACAACUGGAGGGGAGACUGAGCAGCUGGGAUGACAGGAGGAAACUGACAAGCUGAACUGCCUGAUGCAGAGUCUCUGAUCUGUCACGUUCCUUGCAAGUCACAGAGAAAGUGCCAUAUUUGGCAGCUUUUUGGUUAUGCAACAGCCUAUGAUCUGUUCACACCUGUAAGCAACCCCUGGCCCAUACCUCAGUAAGUUAUCACAAUUCUUUGGACCUCCCAGUGCAACUUUGGGGGAACUGUUACUUUGUGUGUGAACAGCUUCCUCUCUGGGAUGAGGAGACAUUUGUGCAUGUCUCUCCAGGAAAAGUCACACAACAGUGUAUGUAUGUAAGCACAGAGCGUAUAUUUGGAGGCAAGAGGUCAGAAUAUGUCCCCCUUGAUUUUUCUAAGAUGAUCUCUUCUUGGUACCUAAAGCUGGCAGGAUAAAGUGGGUUCUUGCCUCAAAGUCAGAUCCGGAUGUUUGUACCCCAAGCACUUUCCUAACUGAACCAUCCGCCCAACCCCAGAAUCUUUUUAAAGAAAGUCUACUGAAUAACUCGGUGGUCAUCAUCAUAUUUUUCAAUUUCAUCCCAUUCGAGAAAAAGGCAAAGUUCUUUUCAGAACUGGACCUAACUUUGGAAUGCUGCUUUGAGAUAUAAACUGCAGAACAAAUGAAACAUGUAUACUUUUGUAGCUAUGUCAAAAAAGUGAACGACUGUUGAGAUGAGUGUAAAAAAAUCCUCUACAGUUCUCUAAAUAAAUCACUGGAAGUAAUCUGGCUGUCAAUAGCAAGCUAUAAGAAAUUAUUUUGAAAAUUGCUUAGUAACAGUUAUAUAAUAAAAAGAGAAGUAAUGUGUGGUGCAUUGAAUACCUGCCCUCCAAAGAUAAACAUAGACUUUGCAGGUAUGAUUAAGUAAGGAAUCUGAAACAAUGGCAUUGCUGUAGAUGAUGGGGGAGGCCCUAAACAUUGCUGGGAUAAAAACAGGGGACUUAAUAGAGACAGAAGAGAAUUAGGCUACUGGACCAAGGAGGCUGGUCAGAGUGAUGAGUCUGCAAGCCAAGGAAUGCUGGCAGCCAUGAGAAACUGAAAAGAAGAAGAAAAAAAAAAAAAGGAGAAAAUUCUAUCCGAGAGCCUCCAAAG